rnacentral:rRNA from 1 species
UACGAAGGGGGCUAGCGUUGCUCGGAAUCACUGGGCGUAAAGCGCACGUAGGCGGAUUGUUAAGUCAGGGGUGAAAUCCUGGAGCUCAAUUCCAGAACUGCCUUUGAUACUGGCGAUCUCGAGUCCGGGAGAGGUGAGUGGAACUGCGAGUGUAGAGGUGAAAUUCGUAGAUAUUCGCAAGAACACCAGUGGCGAAGGCGGCUCACUGGCCCGGUACUGACGCUGAGGUGCGAAAGCGUGGGAGCAAACAGG